rnacentral:lncRNA from 1 species
UAAUACUUGCGGAGUAGAAAAGCGAUGGAAAAAUAUUUAAGUUACCAAAAAUAAACAAGAAUUAAAUAUAAUUAUUUAAAGAAUUGUAGAUGUAAUAUGUCACGACCCGGAACUCCCCAUCGAGCCCGUGACAACCGCCGCGAAGCCUCGACAAACAUUCUUCACCCCGAAUGUCGAUCGAAACCUCGCAAGGCUCUCGUAUCAGCUUUUGCAUCUUCCCGAUGAGCAACAGUUAUUAAAUCUCGCAUUUCAAGAAAUCAUAAGUUAUUUUCAACUCAAAACAAUAAAAUAUUAUUUUCUAGCUCAUAGGGGCAUUUUCGUAUUUUUUUUUCAAAAAUUCCGAAACUUGCCAAAAACAUGGUGUAAAAGCUAAAUAUAUUCAUACAUACUUUAAAUCAAAUAACUGAAAAAUAAAAUUACUUUUACAGUGACACGUGGGCCCCCAACUGACUAAGAAGAUGUUGGGCUACGAACCCUUACUUUCUAGGAUGCAACUCCGAGAUUAAUUCUUGUCUUAAUCAACUAUCAACAAAUUGUCCUGAGCCUGAAAAAUGGAUAGGAAGAGGAGUGAAAUUAUGAUUACAUAAUCCCAGUGAGUAAACAAUUACCAUCAAAAGCAUCUAAAGCCGAGUAGAUGGAGACAAUAUAAAAACAUUAUAUCUUAAUAAUGUUAAUAACACAAAAUUCGUUUCAAUCUAUACCAAACAAUUUCUUUUCAUCAAAAUUUCCCUGGCUUAUGAGUUUCUUAAACUUAGCCCCUGCCAGAAUCAUUCUCGCGGGUACCUUCGUCAAGGUAUCCCACUGAGACCGCCAAGGCUGUUCAAUGACCCGUACCCAUAAACAUGUUUUCACAUCUAACACACAGCCGUUCCUUGACGUUGGCUAAGUCUCACUCUCACGUGGUGGCCCGAACGUGAGGUGCACCCAAAUCAUACCUCAGGAGAUACUUCACCCAACAUCUCCCCCCGGAGGUAAAUAUAUAAUUGAGUUACCAUGCUCCUCUCAUAGGCAGUCCACGAAAAUCCCCACCACUGCAGUGACCGUUUAAUAUACCACCAGACCCAUAAAAAUUCCAAUAGCAUAAUAUGGCGAAUAAAAUGUAAUUCAAUCUACCGAGACCAAUCCCAAAAAUUUAGCCAUCAUGCUACCAUAGUGUCAUAAGCCCCAAUUUCAAUAACAUAUAAAAUCAUAAAUUUCAACACAGUCUCCAUAUACUCAAUUUUUCCAAAACAAUGUUUGAUUUCAAAACAGUAUAAAUCUCAUUUUUAUUAAAAAAAAAUUUUAAUUAGAAAACAUAAUAUUUAAUAAUUUAAGCUCACCAUUCAAUAAAAACAUCAAACACGUAUAAUUACUCUAGAUAUUUAAGACGAUAUAUUAUCCACUCACAGUUCUAGGAGUCGAUGUACUCUUAAUCCCAGUCUUCAAGCACAAUCUCUAUACUUUUACCAGUGUAAUUUGCUCACCA